CACUCUGCUGACACUAGACUUGUCCAUGUCUGUGAUUGGUCAGAUGCUGCAAACACCGACCCGUUCAUGUGAACGCGCUCAUAACCAGACUGAGAAACCCUGGGUUGAUUUACCAAGUUGAUAACCAGCGUCAUAGGACCGCUUAGCAGGAUCUCGUUCGUUAGGGUUAGUGAAGCCAGAUAACGAGAAGAUACCCUGGGUAUGUUGAACUGGCUUCGUAGUACAGGCCUCUAGUCACACACUUAUAACA